rnacentral:lncRNA from 1 species
UGGUGGCUGUUCUUACUAGUCAGAGUUGCAUUUGUGGCUUUCUAGACAUUGAAGUAAAUAAAAACAAGAAAUCUUAGUAGGGCUUCAUAGUGAAUAUCAGAAAAGGUAGUUUGGUAUUAUAAAUGGAUAAUGCUACAAAAUAUAUUUCUGGAUCAAUGUGUGUUGGAGACAUUAAAUUUAUCUACAUUCCAAAGGUUAACAAUGGCACUAAACCAAGCCAAGGGGAGAGUUCUAGUUUUUUUGUUUUACUUUGUUUUAAAAAUAAAUUCAGAAAAGAGAAAAUAUUUCUUACAAGCUAAUGAUCAGCAAUACCUAGUGGAACGAGUAAUGUUGAACAAUGCUAUGGAAAGACAGUAUCAAAAGCAGACGGACUUGCAGUUUCAUUCUAAUAACCUCAGUCUCCACAUUAAAUAACUGUGGGAAGGAGCAAGUACCUUAUAGGACAGAUACUGUUGGUGCUGUACCCAUAGUUACUCUAGCUCAGGAAAAAGGAAGUAAAUAAAUAUGGUGAAGUAAUUUCAAAUGGUUCCAAAGCCAUUUCCUUACCUUACUCCUAAACUAUCUGUAGAUAAUUGGACUUUCAAAGUCAGUUAUUGUGUUAAACAAGGGGCAGUGAUGAAAAACUGUAACCAGACAUUUUCAGAUGGAUGAAACAAAGUAGGCAUUUUCAAAUAUGAACUGGAAAGGGACCUCUCCACAUAAUGCACUUAAAGAGGUUUAUAAAGUCCCAGAAUGUAAGCAAAGACACAUAAUGAUGAGGGACAACCUCUUAAAAAUUCUAACAAACUGUUCAUUGUUUCCCACAGUUCCUCUGUGUAGGCUGAUGGUCCUACGGAGGUAAAUAGUUAGAUUAAUCUGAUCUUUGGUAUCACUGUAUCCCAACAGGGACCAGGAAGAUCAUCAUCAUCUAUGUGGCAGACUAAAAGGCUGUUAAAUAUUUGUAUAUAGAGAGAAUUAAGUAUCAUACUAAAAUACAAACUUUGUGAUUAAUGAGUGACCCUCUGAUAGCUACUUUACAGGAGCAUCCUAAACAUUUCUCAGCAUUCAUCUCAUCACACUUUCGUUCAUUCUAUGUAACUGCAGCCAAUCUUAUAUUCCACAGUCCUUUACAACAACUCUUUGUUUUGAGCUUUAUUAUAGUGGAGGUAGACUUUUAUGAGUAUUUUGUCAAGAGCGAGCCAGGGAACUUCCAUAUUAUCCUUUCAAGAGAAUUGGCUUCCAAAGUGACUUUUCAAGAGAACCAGAAGGGUCAUCCCAUGCCUUAGUAGUAGAGCUAAACUAUCCCAGAAUAGAG